rnacentral:misc_RNA from 1 species
CAGUAUGAAUAGAAGGAUGGUGCUGGCCCUUUACUUGGGCAUGUGCACGCCUUCAAUUUCAAUCCACAUACACCUGUGCACCGCGGACGAGUUUGGACUCCACUGGAUACAACAAUUGUGUUCAGUGAGUCGUUUCUUGACUUUGUUAGGGAACUGAGUCUGAACUCUGUUCUAUUUCCACUACACUAAUGCCUGUAUAAAAAUGCAUGUCUUUUGGCUCUACGGAGCUUUAAACAAAAUA